rnacentral:rRNA from 1 species
AACGCGAAGAACCUUACCAAGUCUUGACAUCCACAGAAUCCUGUAGAAAUAUGGGAGUGCCCUUCGGGGAACUGUGAGACAGGUGGUGCAUGGUUGUCGUCAGCUCGUGUCGUGAGAUGUUGGGUUAAGUCCCGCAACGAGCGCAACCCUUGCUAUUAGUUGCUAACAGGAGAGCUGAGCACUCUAAUGGGACUGCCGGUGACAAGCCGGAGGAAGGUGGGGAUGACGUCAAAUCAUCAUGCCCCUUAUGAUUUGGGCUACACACGUGCUACAAUGGAUGGUACAAAGAGGAGCGAGGUCGCGAGGCGGAGCAAAUCUCAAAAAGCCAUUCUCAGUUCGGAUUGUAGUCUGCAACUCGACUACAUGAAGUCGGAAUCGCUAGUAAUCGCGGAUCAGCAUGCCGCGGUGAAUGCGUUCCCGGGCCUUGUACACACCG